CUUCCAGCCUCAGCCAAAACAUCUGAGUCAACAGGAUCAUCCUCUGGCAGGGGCCUGGUGCAAUUUCCACCUUGGUAACAUUCAAKACUAACAGCAGCAUUUCUACAUUACCGGGAUUACACCUGAAGAGAUCUCUCUCCAGCCCACUGAGAACCACACCACAAAAAUCUUUGAGACUACGUUACUGGAAAUCACUUCAAAAUUAGUAUUAAGCAUUGAUUCAUGCAAACAGARAAACCUUUUUUUUCCCCUGUAUAUUAUAGAGUUGAAUUAAUUAUUUUAACCUUGGAAAAUCUUCAUCUUGCCAUUCUUCCUUAAACUCCACACCUUCCAUUCUUCUUGAGUUACUAACAGGGACUCCUGCCCAGCCUGAAGCUCU